UACGGGGGGUGCGAGCGUUGUCCGGAAUCACUGGGCGUAAAGGGCGCGUAGGUGGUUUGAUAAGGGUGUGGUGAAAGCCCGGGGCUCAACCCCGGGUCUGCCGUGCCGACUGUCAAACUCGAGGGCUGUAGAGGCAGACGGAAUUCCGGGUGUAGCGGUGGAAUGCGUAGAUAUCAGGAGGAAUACCGAUGGCGAAGGCAGGUCUCUGGGCUGACACUGACGCUCAUGCACGAAAGCGUGGGGAGCAAACAGG
rnacentral:rRNA from 1 species